UACGUAGGGUGCAAGCGUUAAUCGGAAUUACUGGGCGUAAAGCGUGCGCAGGCGGUUUUGUAAGACAGGCGUGAAAUCCCCGGGCUCAACCUGGGAAUUGCGCUUGUGACUGCAAAGCUGGAGUGCGGCAGAGGGGGAUGGAAUUCCGCGUGUAGCAGUGAAAUGCGUAGAUAUGCGGAGGAACACCGAUGGCGAAGGCAAUCCCCUGGACCUGUACUGACGCUCAUGCACGAAAGCGUGGGGAGCAAACAGG
rnacentral:rRNA from 1 species